AAACAAAUAAGCACUAUUGAUAAGAUAAAUCCAUUAUAUCUAGGGGGAGUGGAUCAAUUUUUUAUCCCUAACCAUAGCUCCUAAUUUUAAGGAUAAGAUCAGGUUGAAAAAGGGUAUAGAAUAUUUCAAAACUGAUUUGGUAGUCAGUUUCGGAUAAUGAGAGGCAAUCCCCACUUUAUAGGGAAAGUGGUUCCUUUCUUACUUAUAAAAAGGACCCUUGGGCAUAAGGAGGGGGGGAGAAAAAAAGCAAAAAAAAAACACAAAGAAAAGAGAGAGGUAAAAGAAGAACAAUAAAAGAGGGCACAAAGGCACUUCGUCCAAUUGUUGUACACAGAGGCAACCAGCGUAAUCUCACUACAAGUAAAUAACCGAGAGCAGCACAAGAGAGAAGGAAACAGCAUCGUAUAGCAAAGAAGAGUCCACAAUCCAAAAUAUAUUUUGUGGAAUAGGAUAAGCG
rnacentral:lncRNA from 1 species